rnacentral:rRNA from 1 species
AUUGAACGCUGGCGGCAUGCCUUACACAUGCAAGUCGAACGGUAACAGGUUAAGCUGACGAGUGGCGAACGGGUGAGUAAUGUAUCGGAACGUGCCCAGUCGUGGGGGAUAACUGCGCGCAAGAGCAGCUAUUACCGCAUACGACCUGAGGGUGAAAGCGGGGGAUCGCAAGACGUCGCGCGAUUGGCACGGCCGAUAUCAGAUUAGGUAGUUGGUGAGGUAAAGGCUCACCAAGCCGACGAUCUGUAGCUGGUCUGAGAGGACGACCAGCCACACUGGGACUGAGACACGGCCCAGACUCCUACGGGAGGCAGCAGUGGGGAAUUUUGGACAAUGGGCGCAAGCCUGAUCCAGCCAUGCCGCGUGCGGGAAGAAGGCCUUCGGGUUGUAAACCGCUUUUGUCAGGGAAGAAAAGGUUCUGGCUAAUACCUGGGACUCAUGACGGUACCUGAAGAAUAAGCACCGGCUAACUACGUGCCAGCCGCCGCAGUAAGAC